AUUAUAUGGUCAAGAAGAGAAGCGCAAACGGUGGAUGCCUUGGCAGUAAGAGGCGAAGAAGGACGUGGAA
rnacentral:rRNA from 1 species